CAACUUUCAGCAACGGAUCUCUUGGCUCUCGCAUCGAUGAAGAACGCAGCGAAAUGCGAUAAGUAAUGUGAAUUGCAGAAUUCAGUGAAUCAUCGAAUUUUUGAACGCAUCUUGUGUUCCUUGGUAUUCCGAGGAGCAUGCCUGUUUGAGUGUCAUUU
rnacentral:rRNA from 1 species